UAGCCGUAAACGAUACUCGCUAGGUGUCGGCCACGGUGCGACCGUUGUCGGUGCCGUAGGGAAGCCGUGAAGCGAGCCACCUGGGAAGUACGGCCGCAAGGCUGAAACUUAAAGGAAUUGGCGGGGGAGCACAACAACGGGUGGAGCUUGCGGUUUAAUUGGAUUCAACGCCGGACAACUCACCAGGAGCGACGGUUACAUGAAGGCCAGGCUGAUGACCUUGCCUGAUUUUCCGAGAGGUGGUGCAUGGCGUAGUCGUGU
rnacentral:rRNA from 1 species